CUGAUGCGAUCCCCCUCCCCCCUCCGGGUUCGUGUAGGGAGUCGGGCCCCGGGCCGCCACCAUCACCUCGGCCGCUGCCGCCAUAGCCUUGUUUCCCCAUCCCCCGCCAUGGCCGAGGACCUCUCUGCGGCCACGUCCUACACCGAAGAUGAUUUCUACUGCCCCGUCUGUCAGGAGGUGCUCAAAACGCCCGUGCGGACCACGGCCUGUCAGCACGUUUUCUGUAGAAAAUGUUUCCUGACUGCAAUGAGGGAAAGCGGAGCACAUUGUCCCCUAUGUCGUGGAAAUGUGACUAGAAGAGAGAGAGCAUGUCCUGAACGGGCCUUAGACCUUGAAAAUAUAAUGAGGAAGUUUUCUGGUAGCUGCAGAUGCUGUGCAAAACAGAUUAAAUUCUAUCGCAUGAGACAUCAUUACAAAUCUUGUAAGAAGUAUCAGGAUGAAUAUGGUGUUUCUUCUAUCAUUCCAAACUUUCAGAUCUCUCAAGAUUCAGUAGGGAACAGGUAAGCAAUACUUAUUCCUAAAUACAGAAUUUUCAUAAUUGAAAUGGAAAUUGUUUUGGGAACUAUAUGAUAAGGUAUUUG
rnacentral:sRNA from 1 species